UUCAUAUGCUAGAAAAUAGAUCAUUAUGCAUUUUCUUAAACUAUACUUAGCGACUUAUAUCAGUUUAGAAGCGAAAAACAUCAAGCUACAGGCCAUUUUCGGGAGUCUUGAGAGCGGAAUGACGAAGCAGAAUCUCAUCAGGCUCUAACAUAUUGACACGGUCCAUCAAAGAAAGGUUGCGUCCCACAAUACUCACUUGUGAAUUUGCAUGCCCAAUUUACCUGAGUGCAUCCAAAGACUUUUAGAAGCUUUAAUGAUGAGCAGUUAUCGGUAAUAAACCCAAUUGCCUCGUCAGUUAAUUCACGGCACCAUGAUACAUCCAAACUUACCAAAUCUUUUGAAAAUUUGGCAAGGGAGAAGGCAGUGUU
rnacentral:lncRNA from 1 species